GACGCGAUGGCCGAGUGGUUAAGGCGAUUGACUAGAACGGGUAAUCCACUACAUCAAUUUCCCUCUGGGAGCGUAGGUUCAAGUCCUACUCGCGUCG
rfam:Exidia glandulosa HHB12029 unplaced genomic scaffold EXIGLscaffold_119, whole genome shotgun sequence.